CUACGUGCCAGCAGCCGCGGUAAUACGUAGGUGGCAAGCGUUGUCCGGAAUUAUUGGGCGUAAAGCGCGCGCAGGCGGAUUGGUCAGUCUGUCUUAAAAGUUCGGGGCUUAACCCCGUGAUGGGAUGGAAACUGCCAAUCUAGAGUAUCGGAGAGGAAAGUGGAAUUCCUAGUGUAGCGGUGAAAUGCGUAGAUAUUAGGAAGAACACCAGUGGCGAAGGCGACUUUCUGGACGAAAACUGACGCUGAGGCGCGAAAGCCAGGGGAGCGAACGGGAUUAGAUACCCCGGUAGUCCUGGCCGUAAACGAUGGGUACUAGGUGUAGGAGGUAUCGACCCCUUCUGUGCCGGAGUUAACGCAAUAAGUACCCCGCCUGGGGAGUACGACCGCAAGGUCGAAACUCAAAGGAAUUGACGGGGGCCCGCACAAGCGGUGGAGCAUGUGGUUUAAUUCGAUGCAACGCGAAGAACCUUACCUACUCUUGACAUCCAGA
rnacentral:rRNA from 1 species